rnacentral:rRNA from 1 species
UACGUAGGGUGCGAGCGUUAAUCGGAAUUACUGGGCGUAAAGCGUGCGCAGGCGGUCUGUUAAGACCGAUGUGAAAUCCCCGGGCUUAACCUGGGAACUGCAUUGGUGACUGGCAGGCUUUGAGUGUGGCAGAGGGAGGUAUAAUUCCACGUGUAGCAGUGAAAUGCGUAGAGAUGCGGAGGAACACCGAUGGCGAAGGCAGCCCCCUGGGCUGACACUGACGCUCAGGCACGAAAGCGUGGGGAGCAAACAGG